AUUGAACGCUGGCGGCAUGCUUUACACAUGCAAGUCGAACGGUAACAGGUUAAGCUGACGAGUGGCGAACGGGUGAGUAAUGCAUCGGAACGUGCCCGAUCGUGGGGGAUAACGCAGCGAAAGUUGCGCUAAUACCGCAUACGAUCUGAAGAUGAAAACGGGGGACCGUAAGGCCUCGCGCGAUCGGAGCGGCCGAUGUCAGAUUAGGUAGUUGGUGGGGUAAAGGCCCACCAAGCCGACGAUCUGUAGCUGGUCUGAGAGGACGACCAGCCACACUGGGGCUGAGACACGGCCCAGACUCCUACGGGAGGCAGCAGUGGGGAAUUUUGGACAAUGGGCGAAAGCCUGAUCCAGCAAUGCCGCGUGCAGGAAGAAGGCCUUCGGGUUGUAAACUGCUUUUGUACGGAGCGAAAAGGUCCUUUCUAAUACAAGGGGCUCAUGACGGUACCGUAAGAAUAAGCACCGGCUAACUACGUGCCAGCAGCCGCGGUAA
rnacentral:rRNA from 1 species